rnacentral:rRNA from 1 species
GACGAACGCUGGCGGCGUGCUUAACACAUGCAAGUCGAACGGAAAGGCCCUGCUUUUGUGGGGUGCUCGAGUGGCGAACGGGUGAGUAACACGUGAGUAUCCUGCCCUUGACUUUGGGAUAACUUCAGGAAACUGGGGCUAAUACCGGAUAGGAGCUCCUGCUGCAUGGUGGGGGUUGGAAAGUUUCGGCGGUUGGGGAUGGACUGGCGGCUUAUCAGCUUGUUGGGGGGGUAGUUGCUUACCAAGGCUUUGAUGGGUAGCCGGCCUGAGAGGUUGGCCGGGGUCCAUGGGACUGAGGGACGGCCCAGUCUGCAAUGGUAGGCAGAGGUGGAGAAUAUUGCACAAUGAGCGGAAGCCUGAUGCGGAGGCGCCGCGUGCGGGAUGAAGGCUUACGGGUUGUAAACCGCUUUCGCCUGUGACGAAGCGUUAGUGACGGUAAUGGGUAAAGAAGCACCGGCUAACUACGUG